CCAGUAGCCGCGGUAAUUCCAGCUCCAAUAGCGUAUAUUAAAGUUGUUGCAGUUAAAAAGCUCGUAGUCUGAAUCUUGGUCUGGUGUUGAGUGUCUCUGCGGCUCCUUCACAGGGGUCGUGUGCAUACGAUAUACACUGGCCAGCGUUUGUACUUCGGAGGAACACAGGUGCUUCUCAUUAAGUGCUUGCUUUGGGAUUCCGAUAGUUUACUUUGAGAAAAAUAGAGUGUUCAAAGCAGGCGUUUUUGCCUUGAAUACAUUAGCAUGGGAUAAUGGAAUAGGACAUUGGUUCUAUUUUGUUGGUUUACGGACCGAUGUAAUGAUUAAUAGGAACAGUUGGGGACAUUUAUAUUCCGCGGCUAGAGGUGAAAUUCUUGGAUCCGUGGAAGAUAAACUACUGCGAAAGCAUUUGUCAAAGAUGUUUUCAUUGAUCACG
rnacentral:rRNA from 1 species